rnacentral:rRNA from 1 species
CAGUCGCCACGGUAAUACAGAGGGUGCGAGCGUUAAUCGGAUUUACUGGGCGUAAAGCGUGCGUAGGCGGCUUUUUAAGUCGGAUGUGAAAUCCCUGAGCUUAACUUAGGAAUUGCAUUCGAUACUGGGAAGCUAGAGUAUGGGAGAGGAUGGUAGAAUUCCAGGUGUAGCGGUGAAAUGCGUAGAGAUCUGGAGGAAUACCGAUGGCGAAGGCAGCCAUCUGGCCUAAUACUGACGCUGAGGUACGAAAGCAUGGGGAGCAAACAGGAUUAGAUACCCAGUAGUCCCUGUCUCUUAUACA